rnacentral:snoRNA from 1 species
CCGCAUACCAGUAGACCUCGUCUGGUUCUCACCGUAGCCAGACGAGGGGGACGGUCCAUGCGACACGAAGCCGGGGUUGCCGUAGGCUCCGAUCAGCCUCCGCGUGGCUGGUUGAACCGCGACGCUCCAACAUAC